GAAGAAGUGAAUUAAGGGCAUUUGGUGGAUGCCUUGGCAUGCACAGGCGAAGAAGGACGUGAUACGCUGCGAAAAGCCGUGGGGAGCUGCGAAUAAGCUUUGAUCCAUGGAUCUCCGAAUGGGGCAACCCACCUUAAAUGCUUGGAAAAUCCAGUCUGUUUUAACGAACGGCCUGGG
rnacentral:rRNA from 1 species